AGUGAACGCUGGCGGUAGGCCUAACACAUGCAAGUCGAACGGCAGCACAGGAGAGCUUGCUCUCUGGGUGGCGAGUGGCGGACGGGUGAGGAAUACAUCGGAAUCUACUUUGUCGUGGGGGAUAACGCAGGGAAACUUGCGCUAAUACCGCAUACGACCUACGGGUGAAAGCAGGGGAUCUUCGGACCUUGCGCGAUUGAAUGAGCCGAUGUCGGAUUAGCUAGUUGGCGGGGUAAAGGCCCACCAAGGCGACGAUCCGUAGCUGGUCUGAGAGGAUGAUCAGCCACACUGGAACAGAGACACGGUCCAGACUCCUACGGGAGGCAGCAGUGGGGAAUAUUGGACAAUGGGCGCAAGCCUGAUCCAGCCAUACCGCGUGGGUGAAGAAGGCCUUCGGGUUGUAAAGCCCUUUUGUUGGGAAAGAAAAGCAGCCGGUUAAUACCCGGUUGUUCUGACGGUACCCAAAGAAUAAGCACCGGCUAACUUCGUGCCAGCCGCCGCGGUAAUAC
rnacentral:rRNA from 1 species